GAUGAACGCUGGCGGCAUGCCUUACACAUGCAAGUCGAACGGUAACAGGUCUUCGGAUGCUGACGAGUGGCGAACGGGUGAGUAAUACAUCGGAACGUGCCUAGUAGUGGGGGAUAACUACUCGAAAGAGUGGCUAAUACCGCAUGAGAUCUACGGAUGAAAGCAGGGGAUCGCAAGACCUUGUGCUACUAGAGCGGCAGAUGGCAGAUUAGGUAGUUGGUGGGAUAAAAGCUUACCAAGCCGACGAUCUGUAGCUGGUCUGAGAGGACGAGCAGCCACACUGGGACAGAGAAACGGCCCAGACUCCUACGGGAGGCAGCAGUGGGGAAUUUUGGACAAUGGGCGCAAGCCUGAUCCAGCAAUGCCGCGUGCAGGAUGAAGGCCUUCGGGUUGUAAACUGCUUUUGUACGGAACGAAAAGCCCCGGGUUAAUACCCUGGGGUCAUGACGGUACCGUAAGAAUAAGCACCGGCUAACUACGUGCCAGCCGCCGCAGUAA
rnacentral:rRNA from 1 species